AUUGAACGCUGGCGGCAUGCCUUACACAUGCAAGUCGAACGGCAGCACGGGAGCAAUCCUGGUGGCGAGUGGCGAACGGGUGAGUAAUACAUCGGAACGUGCCCAGUCGUGGGGGAUAACGUAGCGAAAGCUACGCUAAUACCGCAUACGAUCUAUGGAUGAAAGCGGGGGAUCGCAAGACCUCGCGCGAUUGGAGCGGC
rnacentral:rRNA from 1 species